rnacentral:rRNA from 1 species
AACGAACGCUGGCGGCGCGCUUAACACAUGCAAGUCGAACGAGAAGGCGUAGCAAUACGCUUGUACAGUGGCGAACGGGUGAGUAAUACGUGGGCGACCUACCCUCGAGUGGGGAAUAACCCGCCGAAAGGCGGGCUAAUGCCGCGUACGCUUCCAUCUUUAUGGAGGUGGAAGGAAAGCCGUGCCGUGGGCACGGCGCUCAAGGAUGGGCUCACGUCCUAUCAGCUUGNGGUGGGGUGAUGGCCUACCAAGGCGACGACGGGUAGCCGGCCUGAGAGGGCGACCGGCCACACUGGGACUGAGACACGGCCCAGACUCCUACGGGAGGCAGCAGUGGGGAAUCUUGCGCAAUGGGCGAAAGCCUGACGCAGCGACGCCGCGUGAGGGAUGACGGCCUGG